rnacentral:lncRNA from 1 species
UUAAAUGGGCAAAAGCCCAUUGUACACUGACGGAUAACAAAGAAAGAAAACGUAAAGAAAGGCAAAUACAUCAGAAGUUUAAAAAAAACGAAAGAAACAAAGAAAGAAAGAAAACGGGUCUGCUUCAGAGAACGCACAAAAGGGAUUUCAAAAGGAGGAGAAGAAGAAGAAAAAGGUUGGAACCAAACCUUGAGAAAUCUUAAAUGCGCACUGGAUUUUAUGGGUAAUACUCAAAUUCUCAUCUGGGUUCUUUUCUUCUAGUAAUUUUUUUUAUCCCGGUUCAUAUAUUUGAAGGGUUUCACAAGGUAUAAGAAAUUAAAUACCAAUAAGAGUUAUUCUGGGAAAAUUUAGAGUCAAACAUGAAACCUCGAGGGUUGGGUAUUCUAAAUUAGCUAUGAAUUAGCCUAAACAAGGAAAUUAACAUGAGAUUGAUAUUAUGUAAUUAUAGAUUGAUUGGAGGAAUUUGUACGAAUUGCUCGAGGUGAAGCAUUUGGUAUUUCGGCACUAGUACUGUGAGUAGUAAUCUUACCGCAAUUUGUAUUUUCAUAACUUGCAUGAUUUACACAUGAUUUUUAAUAUGAACAUGUUACCGAUUAUUUUGAGUUGCAUGUGGGACAAGUCUUUUACUCGAUAUGAUACCGAAAUAGUUAUUUGAGAUGAAUACCGUAGUUUUAAAUAUUUUCAUUGUUACUAGAUCUGUUUUACCGUUACUUGAAUUUACUGUUAUCGAAAGGAAAUUAUAUGAUUUGAUAAGAACCGAAAUGCCCUAUAUUGUUUUAAAAUAGUUUCUACGAGUAUAUACGGAUUACAGAGACAAGUAUAAAUGGGAGUAUACAUUGAAGGAUUCCGUAGCUAACGGCGGGUUCGUUAGACCUAGUGCACCUUGUAAUUACCGAUUACCGUUAAAGCCCUCGCUAGUGGGAAGGUAGAACUAGCAUACCGUUAUGAGACUUCUUGCAAAGAAGUCCAUAGUUAUACCGAUUACAUGAUCCGUUCAUUGAAACCUCCAAAAAUAUGAAUACUGAUAUUAUAUCGUGGUUACCGAGCUUAUUACUGAAUUAUUAGUUAUAUUUUACUACCAGAAAAGCGUGAUGAGACUGAAAAUUAUUUAUUAUUUCUGAAAGGGCAUUUUUAUGUUAUUUUCUCUUUGAGAUACUAGCAUGUUUCUGACUUGUCCCCAAAUAAAAACGGUUGUGGUUAAGUGUUAUUACUCACUGAGCUAGCGACUCAUUCUCCGUAAAUUUUUUUUACAGAGACAGCAGUUGAUGCAGGCGAGGAUUUCGUUAAUUAGAGCGCACAGGUUGAGAAUUCUUGGUGAGCCUCGCACUUGUUCGCGUGGGCGGAGAUUUUUAUCAAUUGUUAUGGUUUUUUCUUUGAAUUCUUAGAGUUGCUCCAUAGUCAUUCUUUUAGUGUCAUGAGUAUUAUUUUGCUAUUAGUCUUAUGCCGAGUAUCGUUCGUUAUUAUCAAGAUCGGAGAUAAAUUAGUAUUUCAGGUUGUUAGUGUGUUGAUUAGCAAUGGUGAAGACUAUUUUGGUUAAUUAAUAAGUUGUCGAUUGUUGGAUUGCUAUUAGGGUGUUUGGUUGCUGAUUUGAGACAGGAAUUUUUUUUUUUGGAUGGUCCAAAAUCAGGGGAAAUUCUGUCCGAUUUUCUGUAAAAUUACCGAUGAGGCUUACUUGGGAGCACUUGCUCCUAAGCGCCGGUCAAAAUCCUAAAUGGAGUCGUG